rnacentral:lncRNA from 1 species
UCCAUGCGAAGAAGAAGAGUAAGAAGAAGACUCGACCCCACUAUUAUUCCUCAUCUCGUUAUAGCAUUUUGCUUCUGUCAUCGUUGUUUUAUUUAUUUUUCUUUUAUUAUUGAUUUGUGUGACUCUUUCAAGAAGGCUUUGUGCGACAUUUUUGUUCGAUUUUUUUGGUUUUGAGUGUUUGGUUUUUACUAGGAUUUUGUGCUAUUUUUCUGAGUGUUUAUCUCUUUUUGUCAUUGUUUGGUGUUUUGUGGAAUAGAAUGUUGUUUCAUUGUGUAGUUUGUGUUUUACUUUUUAUUAUUAUUUU